GGGGGAUUAGUCUAGUGGUAUGAUCGGCGCUUUGGGAGCGUCAGGCGGGGGUUCAAUUCCCUCAUCCCCCA
rnacentral:tRNA from 1 species